CUCUGAUGGUGAGGUUUCCACAGUUAAACAGAUCUCCAGAGCGGUAACGAUACUUUGCUGCUUCAUUAACAAUCUGAUCAAAUGCUGGAAAAAUGUAAUCUGCAAAUUGAAUUUCUGCAAUAGCCGUAGCACCUGCAACAGCAACUCCAAUACCAAAUCCAACAAUUCCUUGCUCACACAAGGGGGUAUUGAAAACUCUAUCUUUGCCAUAUUUGUCUCGCAAGCCAACUGUACACCUGAAGACUCCACCAAAGGCCACAUCUUCACCAAAUAUUACUGCAGUCGGAUCUUUGGCUAAAGCAUUAUCCAAGGCACUUGUUAUGGACUGGAAGAGAUUCAUCUUCUGAGUUUGCCCGUAGGCGCUGGGUGCCGGGUCCGGCUCGAAAGCGAAGUGCGCAGCGGCCCGACGGGGCGCGGCCAGCAAGGGGAUCGGGCGGCUCCGGAGUGCUCCGCAGCAUCGCGCUCUGCCCCCAUACCGGCGCAGCACCCGCGCCAGCCCCGCCGCCGCCAUCACCGCCGCUCUCGGGGGCCGCCACGGCCGCCGCGCGCUCUGAAGAGGCGGGGUCCCGAGUGGGCGCCCUCAUUGGCC
rnacentral:lncRNA from 1 species